rnacentral:rRNA from 1 species
UACGAAGGGGGCUAGCGUUGCUCGGAAUCACUGGGCGUAAAGCGCACGUAGGCGGCUUUCUAAGUCAGGGGUGAAAUCCUGGAGCUCAACUCCAGAACUGCCUUUGAUACUGGAGAGCUUGAGUCCGGAAGAGGUGAGUGGAACUCCGAGUGUAGAGGUGAAAUUCGUAGAUAUUCGGAAGAACACCAGUGGCGAAGGCGGCUCACUGGUCCGGUACUGACGCUGAUGUGCGAAAGCGUGGGGGGCAAACAGG